rnacentral:rRNA from 1 species
UACGUAGGGGGCAAGCGUUGUCCGGAAUCAUUGGGCGUAAAGAGCGCGUAGGCGGCCCAGUUAAGUCCGCUCUGAAAAGUCCAGGGGCUCAACCCCUGGAUGCGGGGUGGGAUACUAGCUGGGGCUAGAGUCCGGAAGAGGUGAAGUGGAAUUCCUGGUGUAGCGGUGAAAUGACGCAGAUAUCAGGAGGAACACCGAUGGCGAAGGCGCUCACUGGGACGGUACUGACGCUGGAGGCGCGAAGGCGUGG